ensembl:lncRNA
UGACAACUAAAAUCCCCUUGCAGGCCGUCCAUAUCAACCUACGGCAGGUCAGAGCGCGUAACCCCUCCAGAACCGCAAGCCCAGGCCCACACCCUUUCCCCUUGUCAACAUUGUCACUUUAAACAGAACAUCUAGCCUUAUCGCCCAACCUGGAAAUUGACAGUGCAGGAGAAACCGACACCAGUGAGCAGCAUCUGUGCAGCACAUCUCCUCCUCUCUCUCGGUUUACAGUAUGAAUUCAGAAUGUCAAAGCUCAUUUUCUCAUCAGCCUCAGAUGCUGUUAAAGCACUGCAAACUUGACUUCUCUUCUCGGACACGUUGGUUUUACAAUGGCGCAGGGUCAGCGUCCAGCUUACACCAGUGUAAGAAUCUGGAUCCACCCAAUUGAGAUGAUACUUGACCCGGAUGGUUGGAUUUCUGCUGUCAGUACCAAAUCCACAGGUCUGUCGGCCCUGUG